GUACGGGAAGGAUUCCUGCCAGGGUGAUUCUGGGGGUCCGCUGGUAUGUGGAGACCACCUCCGAGGCCUUGUGUCAUGGGGUAACAUCCCCUGUGGAUCAAAGGAGAAGCCAGGAGUCUACACCAACGUCUGCAGAUACACGAACUGGAUCCAAAAAACCAUUCAGGCCAAGUGACCCUGACAUGUGACAUCUACCUCCCGACCUACCACCCCACUGGCUGGUUCCAGAACGUCUCUCACCUAGACCUUGCCUCCCCUCCUCUCCUGCCCAGCUCUGACCCUGAUGCUUAAUAAACGCAGCGACGUGAGGGUCCUGAUUCUCCCUGGUUUUACCCCAGCUCCAUCCUUGCAUCACUGGGGAGGACGUGAUGAGUGAGGACUUGGGUCCUCGGUCUUACCCCCACCACUAAGAGAAUACAGGAAAAUCCCUUCUAGGCAUCUCCUCUCCCCAACCCUUCCACACGUUUGAUUUCUUCCUGCAGAGGCCCAGCCACGUGUCUGGAAUCCCAGCUCCGCUGCUUACUGUCGGUGUCCCCUUGGGAUGUACCUUUCUUCACUGCAGAUUUCUCACCUGUAAGAUGAAGAUAAGGAUGAUACAGUCUCCAUAAGGCAGUGGCUGUUGGAAAGAUUUAAGGUUUCACACCUAUGACAUACAUGGAAUAGCACCUGGGCCACCAUGCACUCAAUAAAGAAUGAAUUUUAUUAUG
rnacentral:lncRNA from 10 species